UACGUAGGGUGCGAGCGUUGUCCGGAUUUAUUGGGCGUAAAGAGCUCGUAGGCGGUUCCGUAAGUCAGAUGUGAAAACUCAGGGCUCAACCCGGAGACGCCAUCUGAUACUGCGGUGACUGGAGUCUGGUAGGGGAACACGGAAUUCCUGGUGUAGCGGUGAAAUGCGCAGAUAUCAGGAGGAACACCGAUGGCGAAGGCAGUGUUCUGGGCCAGUACUGACGCUGAGGAGCGAAAGCGUGGGGAGCAAACAGG
rnacentral:rRNA from 1 species